rfam:Stegodyphus mimosarum contig29694, whole genome shotgun sequence.
GUCUUCGUGGUGCAGUGGUCAGCACGCUCAGCUCGUAUUCGAUAGGUCUGUGGUUCGAGUCCCGGCGAGGGUA